GCCAGCGUGGCAUAGUGGUUAUGAGUGUUGGACUACAACUCUGGAGACCAGGGUUCUAUUCCCAGCUCAGCCA